CAUCUGUGCUGCAUAAAUUUGUUUCCAGCUAUGCUUUUAUGGAGACACAGGCAUGAAGCGUAAGACCUCCCGAUUGUCUCAUUGGGGCCCAUUGUCCUUUGCAGGCUGGUCGAGUAAUAUGCUGGUCAUCAUUAUUUUCAAAUUGAUAUAAUUGCCUAUUAUAAAGAAAAACACAGCAAAAUGUGUAUCCUGUUGCAUCACCUGCAU